rnacentral:rRNA from 1 species
ACAGCAGUAGCCACGGUAAUACAGAGGGUGCGAGCGUUAAUCGGAUUUACUGGGCGUAAAGCGUGCGUAGGCGGCUUUUUAAGUCGGAUGUGAAAUCCCUGAGCUUAACUUAGGAAUUGCAUUCGAUACUGGGAAGCUAGAGUAUGGGAGAGGAUGGUAGAAUUCCAGGUGUAGCGGUGAAAUGCGUAGAGAUCUGGAGGAAUACCGAUGGCGAAGGCAGCCAUCUGGCCUAAUACUGACGCUGAGGUACGAAAGCAUGGGGAGCAAACAGGAUUAGAUACCCCCGUAGUCCCUGUCUCUUAUAC